rnacentral:rRNA from 1 species
GAUCCUGGCUCAGGAUGAAUGCUGGCGGCGUGCCUAACACAUGCAAGUCGAGCGGCAGCGCGAGUAGUUACUACUGGCGGCGAGCGGCGGACGGCUGAGUAACGCGUGGGAACGUGCCCCAAAGUGAGGAAUAACUGCCCGAAAGGGUGGCUAAUGCCGCAUAUGGUCUUCGGAUUAAAGUCUUCGGACGCUUUGGGAGCGGCCCGCGUCGGAUUAGGUAGUUGGUAGGGUAAUGGCCUACCAAGCCGACGAUCCGUAGCUGGUCUGAGAGGAUGAUCAGCCAGACUGGGACUGAGACGCGGCCCAGACUCCUACGGGAGGCAGCAGUGAGGAAUCUUCCACAAUGGGCGAAAGCCUGAUGGAGCAACGCCGCGUGCAGGAUGAAGGCCUUCGGGUUGUAAACUGCUUUUAUAAGUGAAGAAUAUGACGGUAACUUAUGAAUAAGCACCGGCUAACUACGUGCCAGCCGCCGC